rfam:Myotis lucifugus cont2.14851, whole genome shotgun sequence.
UGGUGUUAGGCUGGAUUUAGAUAUAGGGUAGCUGCUGUCAGCCAAGUCUCUGUUAUCUGGGUCCCGAUCUGAGCU